rnacentral:tmRNA from 1 species
GAGCUUUGCAAUGCCGCUGAUGUCGCCUAUAUCAGCGAUGCCGCUUCGGCGGAGAUGGUGAUGAACGAGUGCGUGGAAUAGGGAUAGCGGACCCGGGGGCAGUACCCGGCGGCUCCACCAGACCCCGCUGUUGCGGCGGGGAUUGACGGGGCCGAACCAGGAUCGACGUGUUUCGAAAGACGCAUUUUUUGCCCGGGCAGACACUCCCGUAAAACGGUUCAAAAUCCACAAAUGCCAACGACAACGAGGCAUUUGCGAUUGCCGCGUAACGAAGGCCCCCAAGGCUGACGUUAUGACGCAUGAGCAGGGUUCGGACCGAACCCGGUAACAGAAUCGGAAACCAGCGGCCUGGAGGAGUGCCGGGCAACAGAAACUCCUCCAU